CCUACGGGAGGCAGCAGUAGGGAAUAUUGCUCAAUGGGCGAAACCCUGAAGCAGCCACGCCGCGUGAAGGAUGAAGGUUCUCGGAUUGUAAACUCCUUUUGUUAGAGAAGAUAAUGACGGUAUCUAACGAAUAAGCACCGGCUAACUCCGUGACAGCAGCCGCGGUAAUACGGCGGGAGCAAGCGUUAUUCGGAUUUACUGGGCGUAAUGCGCGAGUAGGCGGGAUAACAAGUCAGAUGUGAAAUCCUUUGGCUUAACCAUAGAACUGCAUUUGAAACUGUUGUUCUAGAGUAUGGGAGAGGCAGGUGGAAUUCUUGGUGUAGGGGUGAAAGGCGUAGAGAUCACGAGGAACAC
rnacentral:rRNA from 1 species